GGUUUUAUAUUCAAACAUGAUUUUAGACUGCAAAUCUAAGGGUGUAUUUCAUCUAUACUAAGGCCU
rnacentral:tRNA from 1 species